GAGUUUGAUCCUGGCUCAGGAUGAACGCUAGCGGCAGGCUUAACACAUGCAAGUCGAGGGGCAGCAUUAUCUGCUUGCAGAUAGAUGGCGACCGGCGCACGGGUGCGUAACGCGUAUAGAACCUACCUUAUAUUGGGGGAUAGCCCAGAGAAAUUUGGAUUAAUACCCCAUGGUAUGUUGAAGUGGCAUCAUUUUGACAUUAAAGAUUUAUUGAUAUAAGAUGGCUAUGCGUUCUAUUAGCUAGUUGGUAUGGUAACGGCAUACCAAGGCUACGAUAGAUAGGGGUCCUGAGAGGGAGAUCCCCCACACUGGUACUGAGACACGGACCAGACUCCUACGGGAGGCAGCAGUGAGGAAUAUUGGACAAUGGAGGCAACUCUGAUCCAGCCAUGCCGCGUGCAGGAAGACUGCCCUAUGGGUUGUAAACUGCUUUUAUAGAGGAAGAAUGCUCACUACGGGUUAGUGAUUUGACGGUACUCUACGAAUAAGGAUCGGCUAACUCCGUGCCAGCAGCCGCGGUAAUACGGAGGAUCCAAGCGUUAUCCGGAAUCAUUGGGUUUAAAGGGUCCGUAGGCGGGUUUAUAAGUCAGUGGUGAAAGUUUGCGGCUCAACCGUAAAAUUGCCAUUGAUACUGUAGGUCUUGAAUUAUUGUGAAGUGGUUAGAAUGUGUAGUGUAGCGGUGAAAUGCAUAGAUAUUACACAGAAUACCGAUUGCGAAGGCAGAUCACUAACAAUUGAUUGACGCUAAGGGACGAAAGCGUGGGUAGCGAACAGGAUUGGAUACCCUGGUAGUCCACGCCGUAAACGAUGGUUACUAGCUGUUCGGACUUUGGUUUGAGUGGCUAAGCGAAAGUGAUAAGUAACCCACCUGGGGAGUACGUUCGCAAGAAUGAAACUCAAAGGAAUUGACGGGGGCCCGCACAAGCGGUGGAGCAUGUGGUUUAAUUCGAUGAUACGCGAGGAACCUUACCAGGGCUUAAAUGUGGUCUGACAGCUUUAGAGAUAGAGUUUUCUUCGGACAGAUCACAAGGUGCUGCAUGGUUGUCGUCAGCUCGUGCCGUGAGGUGUCAGGUUAAGUCCUAUAACGAGCGCAACCCCUGUUGUUAGUUGCCAGCAUGUAAAGAUGGGAACUCUAGCAAGACUGCCGGUGCAAACCGCGAGGAAGGUGGGGAUGACGUCAAAUCAUCACGGCCCUUACGUCCUGGGCCACACACGUGCUACAAUGGUAGGUACAGAGAGCAGCCACUUGGUGACAAGGAGCGAAUCUAUAAAGCCUAUCACAGUUCGGAUCGGAGUCUGCAACUCGACUCCGUGAAGCUGGAAUCGCUAGUAAUCGGAUAUCAGCCAUGAUCCGGUGAAUACGUUCCCGGGCCUUGUACACACCGCCCGUCAAGCCAUGGAAGCUGGGGGUACCUGAAGUCCGUCACCGUUAAGGAGCGGCCUAGGGUAAAACUGGUAACUGGGGCUAAGUCGUAACAAGGUAGCCGUA
rnacentral:rRNA from 1 species